ACCUACUAUGUGACUGAUUUCUCUCCAGGGUCCAUUGCUACAUUAUAAAUAUGUGUGACAUAUUUGACAUCAUAUGACAAAUGAUGACAAACAUAUCAUUGUUGGGUAAUCAAGAAAGUGACACCUCCAAAGAAAGAAGAAGGGAAGAGAGGGAAUGGAGAAGAAUCAAAAAAUAAGGAAAAGGAGGAAGAGGAAAAAACAGAAGGAGGAUAAAAAGAGAUAUGGAGAGUAAAUUUCGAAUUUGUUAAUUGAUAAAUACAUAUGGUAAAAGUCAUUGGAAGACCAUGCCUGGAUGGAUACAACCUUGGGCAAAAUGGUCUUUGUGGCUGAGACAAUCCUUGAAGGGGCCUACCACCAAAGGCUAUUUAUGGACAUCACUCUCAGCAGGUUCAUCGACAACCACAACUUUACUGACCGGCGGGGGAAGAGCGAGGUUCCGUAGCAUCAAAGCAACAAGACAGGACAGGGAUAUUUUUCACAUUUUGUAUUUCUAAAUAAACC